UACAGAGGGUGCAAGCGUUAAUCGGAAUUACUGGGCGUAAAGUGUGCGCAGGUGGCUUCGCAAGUCGAGUGUGAAAUCCCCGGGCUUAACCUGGGAAUUGCGCUCGAAACUACGGAGCUGGAGUAUGGCAGAGGGAGGUGGAAUUCCACGUGUAGCGGUGAAAUGCGUAGAGAUGUGGAGGAACACCAAUGGCGAAGGCAGCCUCCGUGGGCCAAUACUGACACUCAUGCACGAAAGCGUGGGGAGCAAACAG
rnacentral:rRNA from 1 species